rnacentral:rRNA from 1 species
UACGUAGGGUGCAAGCGUUAAUCGGAAUUACUGGGCGUAAAGCGUGCGCAGGCGGUUUUGUAACUCUGUCGUGAAAUCCCCGGGCUCAACCUGGGAAUUGCGAUGGAGACUGCAAGGCUAGAAUCUGGCAGAGGGGGGUAGAAUUCCACGUGUAGCAGUGAAAUGCGUGGAGAUGUGGAGGAACACCGAUGGCGAAGGCAGCCCCCUGGGUCAAGAUUGACGCUCAUGCACGAAAGCGUGGGGAGCAAACAGG